CCCUUCUGUGACCUACCUAUCGUUGCUUCGGCGGACUCGCCCCAGCCCGGACGCGGACUGGACCAGCGGCCCGCCGGGGACCUCAAACUCUUGUAUUCCAGCAUCUUCUGAAUACGCCGCAAGGCAAAACAAAUGAAUCAAAACUUUCAACAACGGAUCUCUUGGCUCUGGCAUCGAUGAAGAACGCAGCGAAACGCGAUAAGUAAUGUGAAUUGCAGAAUCCAGUGAAUCAUCGAAUCUUUGAACGCACAUUGCGCCCGCCAGCAUUCUGGCGGGCAUGCCUGUUCGAGCGUCAUUUCAACCCUCGACCUCCCCUUGGGGAGGUCGGCGUUGGGGACCGGCAGCACACCGCCGGCCCUGAAAUGGAGUGGCGGCCCGUCCGCGGCGACCUCUGCGCAGUAAUACAGCUCGCACCGGAACCCCGACGCGGCCACGCCGUAAAACACCCAACUUCUGAACGUUGACCUCGAAUCAGGUAGGACUACCCGCUGAACUUAAGCAUAUCAAUA
rnacentral:rRNA from 1 species